AAAUUGAAGAGUUUGAUCAUGGCUCAGAUUGAACGCUGGCGGCAGGCCUAACACAUGCAAGUCGAACGGUAACAGGAAACAGCUUGCUGUUUCGCUGACGAGUGGCGGACGGGUGAGUAAUGUCUGGGAAACUGCCUGAUGGAGGGGGAUAACUACUGGAAACGGUAGCUAAUACCGCAUAACGUCGCAAGACCAAAGAGGGGGACCUUCGGGCCUCUUGCCAUCGGAUGUGCCCAGAUGGGAUUAGCUAGUAGGUGGGGUAAAGGCUCACCUAGGCGACGAUCCCUAGCUGGUCUGAGAGGAUGACCAGCCACACUGGAACUGAGACACGGUCCAGACUCCUACGGGAGGCAGCAGUGGGGAAUAUUGCACAAUGGGCGCAAGCCUGAUGCAGCCAUGCCGCGUGUAUGAAGAAGGCCUUCGGGUUGUAAAGUACUUUCAGCGGGGAGGAAGGGAGUAAAGUUAAUACCUUUGCUCAUUGACGUUACCCGCAGAAGAAGCACCGGCUAACUCCGUGCCAGCAGCCGCGGUAAUACGGAGGGUGCAAGCGUUAAUCGGAAUUACUGGGCGUAAAGCGCACGCAGGCGGUUUGUUAAGUCAGAUGUGAAAUCCCCGGGCUCAACCUGGGAACUGCAUCUGAUACUGGCAAGCUUGAGUCUCGUAGAGGGGGGUAGAAUUCCAGGUGUAGCGGUGAAAUGCGUAGAGAUCUGGAGGAAUACCGGUGGCGAAGGCGGCCCCCUGGACGAAGACUGACGCUCAGGUGCGAAAGCGUGGGGAGCAAACAGGAUUAGAUACCCUGGUAGUCCACGCCGUAAACGAUGUCGACUUGGAGGUUGUGCCCUUGAGGCGUGGCUUCCGGAGCUAACGCGUUAAGUCGACCGCCUGGGGAGUACGGCCGCAAGGUUAAAACUCAAAUGAAUUGACGGGGGCCCGCACAAGCGGUGGAGCAUGUGGUUUAAUUCGAUGCAACGCGAAGAACCUUACCUGGUCUUGACAUCCACGGAAGUUUUCAGAGAUGAGAAUGUGCCUUCGGGAACCGUGAGACAGGUGCUGCAUGGCUGUCGUCAGCUCGUGUUGUGAAAUGUUGGGUUAAGUCCCGCAACGAGCGCAACCCUUAUCCUUUGUUGCCAGCGGUCCGGCCGGGAACUCAAAGGAGACUGCCAGUGAUAAACUGGAGGAAGGUGGGGAUGACGUCAAGUCAUCAUGGCCCUUACGACCAGGGCUACACACGUGCUACAAUGGCGCAUACAAAGAGAAGCGACCUCGCGAGAGCAAGCGGACCUCAUAAAGUGCGUCGUAGUCCGGAUUGGAGUCUGCAACUCGACUCCAUGAAGUCGGAAUCGCUAGUAAUCGUGGAUCAGAAUGCCACGGUGAAUACGUUCCCGGGCCUUGUACACACCGCCCGUCACACCAUGGGAGUGGGUUGCAAAAGAAGUAGGUAGCUUAACCUUCGGGAGGGCGCUUACCACUUUGUGAUUCAUGACUGGGGUGAAGUCGUAACAAGGUAACCGUAGGGGAACCUGCGGUUGGAUCACCUCCUUACCUUAAAGAAGC
rnacentral:rRNA from 2 species